rnacentral:rRNA from 1 species
GACGAACGCUGGCGGCGUGCUUAACACAUGCAAGUCGAACGGAAAGGCCCUGCUUUUGUGGGGUGCUCGAGUGGCGAACGGGUGAGUAACACUUGUGUAACCUGCCCUUGACUUUGGUAUAACUUCAGGAAACUGGGGCUAAUACCGGAUAGGAGCUCCUGCUGCAUGGUGGGGGUUGGAAAGUUUCGGCGGUUGGGGAAGGACACGCGGCUUAUCAUCUUGUUGGUGGGGUAGUGGCUUACCAAGGCUUUGACGGGUAGCCGGACUGAGAGGGUGACCGACCACAUUGGGAAGGAGAUACAGCGAGGAUACCUAAGGGAGACAGCGGUGGGAAACAUACGGCAAGGGGAGGAACUCGACUGAUGCAUCGUCGCCUGCGGGAUGUCGGACAUCGGGGUACACACAGAUUAAGCCUGUGACUAAGAGUAUGUGAACGUAAUGGGCACAGCAGCACCGGCUAACUAAGUG